UAGGGAAUCUUCGGCAAUGGGGGGAACCCUGACCGAGCAACGCCGCGUGAGUGAAGAAGGUUUUCGGAUCGUAAAGCUCUGUUGUUAAGGAAGAACGAGUGUGAGAAUGGAAAGUUCAUACUGUGACGGUACUUAACCAGAAAGGGACAGCUAACUACGUGCCAGCAGCCGCGGUAAUACGUAGGUCCCGAGCGUUGUCCGGAUUUAUUGGGCGUAAAGCGAGCGCAGGCGGUUAGAUAAGUCUGAAGUUAAAGGCAGUGGCUCAACCAUUGUAGGCUUUGGAAACUGUUUAACUUGAGUGCAGAAGGGGAGAGUGGAAUUCCAUGUGUAGCGGUGAAAUGCGUAGAUAUAUGGAGGAACACCGGUGGCGAAAGCGGCUCUCUGGUCUGUAACUGACGCUGAGGCUCGAAAGCGUGGGGAGCGAACAGG
rnacentral:rRNA from 1 species